rnacentral:rRNA from 1 species
UGCGUAGGUGGUCGGGUAAGUCUGAUGUGAAAUCUCCAAGCUCAACUUGGAAACGGCAUUGGAUACUAUUCGGCUAGAGGGUUUGAGGGGGGGGCUGGAAUACUUGGUGUAGCAGUGAAACGCGUAGAUAUCAAGUGGAACACCAGUGGCGAAGGCGAGUCCCUGGAAAACUCCUGACACUGAGGCACGAAAGCUAGGGGAGCAAACA